rnacentral:rRNA from 1 species
UGCCAGCCGCCGCGGUAAGACGGAGGGUGCAAACGUUGUUCGGAAUCACUGGGCAUAAAGCGCACGUAGGCGGCGCAUUAAGUCAGGUGUGAAAGCCCCCGGCUCAACCUGGGAAUUGCAUCUGAUACUGAUGUGCUAGAGGACGGUUGGGGUGAGUGGAACUCCUGGUGGAGCGGUGAAAUGCGUAGAUAUCAGGAGGAACACCAGUGGCGAAAGCGGCUCACUGGACCGUAUCUGACGCUGAGGUGCGAAAGCUAGGGUAGCGAACGGGAUUAGAUA